rnacentral:rRNA from 1 species
UACAGAGGGUGCGAGCGUUAAUCGGAAUUACUGGGCGUAAAGCGCACGUAGUCGGCUUUGCAAGUCGGUUGUGAAAUCCCCGGGCUCAACCUGGGAACUGCAUCCGAGACUGCAUUGCUAGAGUAUGGGAGAGGAAAGCGGAAUUCCACGUGUAGCGGUGAAAUGCGUAGAGAUGUGGAGGAACACCAGUGGCGAAGGCGGCUUUUUGGUCUGUAACUGACGCUGAGGCGCGAAAGCGUGGGGAGUAAACAGG